rnacentral:rRNA from 1 species
CCCUUAGAUGUUCUGGGCCGCACGCGCGCUACACUGAUGCAUUCAACGAGUCUAAAACCUGCUCUGAUAGGGGUGGGUAAUCUUUUGAAUGUGCAUCGUGAUUGGGAUAGAUGAUUGCAAUUUUUCAUCCUCAACGAGGAAUGCCUAGUAAACGCAAGUCAUCAGCUUGCAUUGAUUACGUCCCUGCCCUUUGUACACACCGCCCGUCGCUCCUACCGAUUGAAUGAUCCGAUGAAUAUCAUGGAUUGAGGAUGCAAGCAGGUUCGCCUGUCUUCAUCUUCGAGAAGUGAAGUAAAUCUUAUCAUUUAGAGGAAGGAGAAGUCGUAACA